CCUGACUGACCGAUAGUGAUCAAGUACCGUGAGGGAAAGGCGAAAAGAACCCCGGCGAGCGGAGUGAAAAAGAACCUGAAACCGUGUACGUACAAGCAGUGGGAGCACCUUCCGGUGUGACUGCGUACCUUUUGUAUAAUGGGUCAGCGACUUAUAUUCUGUAGCAAGGUUAACCGAAUAGGGGAGCGGCAGGGAAACCGAGUCUUAACUGGGCGUUUAGUUGCAGGGUAUAGACCCGAAACCCGGUGAACAAGCGAUGGGCAGGUUGAAGGUUGGGUAACACUAACUGGAGG
rnacentral:rRNA from 1 species